GGCUGUUGAUCCUGCCUCCCUCACUUAGCAGUGUGUCCACUUGGGCAUGGCUACCCACUGCAGUAUUCUUGGCUAGAGAAUUCCAUGGACAGAGGAGACUGGUGGGCUACAGUCCAUAGGGUCACAAAGAGUCGGACACGACUGAAGUGACCUAGCAGUCGUGAUGCAUAGCUUGGGCAGGCCACAGCACACUGCUAACUGCCGUGAAACCAAGCAACAAGUCACUCCCCAGGAACAAAGGUGACGGCCACCAGGCCGCAGAGCCUUGACCUCAUCUCUUUUCCUACGUGCGGUCCACCCCGUAAUCAUUGUGCCUCCAGGGAGCAUGCCCGCCAAGCAGCGCACGCUGUCAGCCUCCUGUUUACAGAGCCUUUCUGGCGUCAGAUAGCUGUAAACACGAAGAACAUAUAUUUGCAACCUUCUAUUACAAGACUUUCGCACUCCUGAAAAAGGAAUCAAGAUGCCUUUUGAUCAACUGUUUUGUUGAUGAAAUGAUUCC
ensembl:lncRNA